rnacentral:rRNA from 1 species
UGAGGAAUUUUGCGCAAUGGGAGCAAUCCUGACGCAGCAACGCCGCGUGGGUGAUGAAGGCCUUCGGGUCGUAAAGCCCUGUCAGGUGGGAAGAAUGUCCCGGGACUGAACAGGUUCCGGGAGUGACGGUACCACCAGAGGAAGCACCGGCUAACUCCGUGCCAGCAGCCGCGGUAAUACGGAGGGUGCAAGCGUUAUUCGGCAUUACUGGGCGUCAAGCGCGUGUAGGCGGUCCUGCAAGUCUGAUGUGAAAGCCCCGGGCUUAACCCGGGAAGGGCAUUGGAAACUGUGGGACUUGAGUACUGGAGAGGAUGGGUGAAUUCCCGGUGUAGAGGUGAAAGUCGUAGAGAUCGGGAGGAAUAUCAGUGGCGAAGGCGCCCAUCUGGACGGUAACUGACGCUGAGACGCGAAAGCGUGGGGAGCAAACA